rnacentral:rRNA from 1 species
CCUACGGGAGGCAGCAGUGAGGAAUAUUGGUCAAUGGCCGGAAGGCUGAACCAGCCAUGCCGCGUGAAGGUCAGUGCCCUAUGGGCGUUAAACUUCUUUUGUGCGGGAGCAAUAAUGGUCACGUGUGGCCAGACGAGAGUACCGUACGAAUAAGCGUCGGCUAACUCCGGGCCAGCAGCCGCGGUAAUACGGGGGAGUCAAGCCUUAUCCGGGUUUAAUGGGUUUAAAGGGUGCGUAGGCUGGGAGGUAAGUCAGCGGUGGAAUGCCCGUGCUCAAAGGGGUGAAGUGCGAUUGAUACUGGCUUGCUGGAGUGCGGGUGCCGUGGGAGGAAUGUGUGGUGUAGCGGUGAAAUGCAUAGAUAUCACACAGAACACCGAUUGCGAAGGCAGCACACGAAUCCGCGAUUGACGCUGAUGCACGAAGGCGUGGGUAUCAAACAGGAUUAGAUACCCCAGUAGUC